rnacentral:rRNA from 1 species
AGUGAACGCUGGCGGUAGGCCUAACACAUGCAAGUCGAACGGCAGCACAGUAAGAGCUUGCUCUUACGGGUGGCGAGUGGCGGACGGGUGAGGAAUACAUCGGAAUCUACUUUUUCGUGGGGGAUAACGUAGGGAAACUUACGCUAAUACCGCAUACGACCUACGGGUGAAAGCAGGGGAUCUUCGGACCUUGCGCGAUUGAAUGAGCCGAUGUCGGAUUAGCUAGUUGGCGGGGUAAAGGCCCACCAAGGCGACGAUCCGUAGCUGGUCUGAGAGGAUGAUCAGCCACACUGGAACUGAGACACGGUCCAGACUCCUACGGGAGGCAGCAGUGGGGAAUAUGGGACAAUGGGCGCAAGCCUGAUCCAGCCAUACCGCGUGGGUGAAGAAGGCCUUCGGGUUGUAAAGCCCUUUUGUUGGGAAAGAAAAGCAGCAGGUUAAUACCCCGCUGUUCUGACGGUACCCAAAGAAUAAGCACCGGCUAACUUC